rnacentral:rRNA from 1 species
GAUGAACGCUGGCGGCGUGCCUAAUACAUGCAAGUCGAGCGAACAGACGAUAGUGCUUUCACUCUCUGGGUGGAGCGGGGGACGGGUGAGAAACACGCAGGUGACCUUCCUAUUAGACUGGGAUAACUUUGGGAAACCUGAGCUAAAUCCGGAAAAUAUUCAACGUGUGAUAAAGCAAGAGUGAAAGACUGUGCUUGUGUCACUUAGAGAUUGACUCGCGGUGUAUUAGCUAGUUGGAGGGGUAACGGCCCACCAAGGCAACGAUACAUAUCCGAUCUGAGAGGGUGAUCGGCCACACUGGGACUGAGACACGGCCCAGACUCCUACGGGAGGCAGCAGUAGGGAAUCUUCCGCAAUGGACGAAAGCCUGACGGAGCCAUGCCGCGUGAGUGAAGAAGGUCUUCGGAUUGUAAAACUCUUUUGUUAGGGAAGAACAGGUGCGUUAGUAUCUGCCCCUGUCUUGACGGUACCCUACGAGAAAGCCCCGGCUAACUCCGUG